CAGUAGCCGCGGUAAUACGGAGGGUGCGAGCGUUAAUCGGAAUUACUGGGCGUAAAGCGCGCGUAGGUGGUUCGUCAAGUUGGAUGUGAAAUCCCCGAGCUCAACCUAGGAACUGCAUCCAAAACUGGGGAGCUAGAGUAUGGUAGAGGGUGGUAGAAUUUCAUGUGUAGCGGUGAAAUGCGUAGAUAUAGGAAGGAACAUCAGUGGCGAAGGCGACCACCUGGACUGAUACUGACACUGAGGUGCGAAAGCGUGGGGAGCAAACAGGAUUAGAUACCCGAGUAGUCCCUGUCUCUUAUAC
rnacentral:rRNA from 1 species